rnacentral:rRNA from 1 species
UAGGGAAUCUUCGGCAAUGGACGAAAGUCUGACCGAGCAACGCCGCGUGAGUGAAGAAGGUUUUCGGAUCGUAAAACUCUGUUGUUAGAGAAGAACAAGGACGUUAGUAACUGAACGUCCCCUGACGGUAUCUAACCAGAAAGCCACGGCUAACUACGUGCCAGCAGCCGCGGUAAUACGUAGGUGGCAAGCGUUUUCCGGAUUUAUUGGGCGUAAAGCGAGCGCAGGCGGUUUCUUAAGUCUGAUGUGAAAGCCCCCGGCUCAACCGGGGAGGGUCAUUGGAAACUGGGAGACUUGAGUGGAGAAGAGGAGAGUGGAAUUCCAAGUGUAGCGGUGAAAUGCGUAGAUAAAUGGAGGGACACCAGUGGCGAAGGCGGCGCUCUGGUCUGUAACUGACGCUGAGGCACGAAAGCGUGGGGAGCAAACAGG